UACGGAGGGUGCAAGCGUUAUCCGGAUCCACUGGGUUUAAAGGGUGCGUAGGCGGACAGGUAAGUCAGUGGUGAAAUCUCUGGGCUUAACCCAGAAACUGCCGUUGAUACUAUUUGUCUUGAAUAUCCUGGAGGUAGGCGGAAUAUGUCAUGUAGCGGUAAAAUGCUUAGAUAUGACAUAGAACACCGAUAGCGAAGGCAGCUUACUACAGGAUGAUUGACGCUGAGGCACGAAAGCGUGGGGAGCAAACAGG
rnacentral:rRNA from 1 species